AUCUCCAUAGACUCAAUAGCAGAGGAGACUCUGACAUGUAUAUGGAUGCUGUCGUUUUCGCAGGUAUCGCUACCGUCGUCCUGAUAUUCGGCUUCUUUGGCGGUGUGGGUUAUUUCAUUUACAAGGACUCCCACAAGAAGUCAGACGAGAAGCACUAACCGGUUCCAG
rnacentral:ncRNA from 1 species